rnacentral:lncRNA from 1 species
AUUUUUCCUUCACUUCCAAAUCUGGUAUAUCUGUGCUUGUACGUUUAGGGUACGUGAGGCCUGAUGGUCCAGAGCAGUGUACCUGUCUGUGUAGAGCUGGAUUAUUUAUUCAUCUGGGGUAUAUGACCAGAGGUCCUAGCUUGGAGAAUUCCUUGUUUUUAGAACUUUUACUCAGGGUCCUAAAAUCUGGGGGUAGGCAGGCUGCAAUGCCUUCCCCUCCCUCCUUGCAUAUCACCCCCUCCUAUGGAUUCAGAGUACUGAGUUGUGAUACUUAGUAUCACCAAGUCAGUACUAGGUUAAAAUUCAAGUAUUAAAAUAUUUUCAAAUAGGUGCUAUUCUUUCAAGCCUUGGGUUUGUCUGUAGGAUAGAAUUGUGUAUACUCUGUCGUAUCUCAGGCCAGAGCUGAGUUUUCCUUUCACAAUGCCCAAGUUGAAUCUAAAUGGUGUGGCGCUCAUUAAUGGAAACAAUCUGCUAUCAGACGUAGCCUGAUUGGUUUAUCAAACUAAGUGCAGGACCCGGUAAAGUCAAGGUCAAGGUCGGAGUCCCCUCCUCUGGGUAACACUGGAGGUGUCUUGGCAUUUUUUUUGUGUUGAGAUGAUAGACACCGUCAUAGCUAGUGUUCAUCAUUUUAGCGAAUAAAAUGUUUUUUAAAAGGUCUUCUUUAUUUUACUUUUUAAGAUUUUAUAGCAAAAUGUAUAUGAAGACAAAUUGAAACAAAGAAAGCAGACAGCUUUUGGAGAUUUUUAGCCUCCAAAGUAUAAUUGUGGAAAUUUGAUUACAGCUCAGAUAGAGGCAUCAUUAAUAAAGAUGGUUAGCAGUUAUUAAGAAUGUCAGAAAAGCUUGAAAUUGAGUUGUUUUUCAGCCCUAGCAUUGUUAGAAAGAAGCUGUUUACAUUUUAUUCUGAAAACUAAUAUUAAGAUACUGUAAUUUAAAAUAAAAUGAAAAAUGAAAAAAUUUAAUAGAAGAUAAUGAAUACAUUUGAGAUAAAUACUUCCUUUAUAUUGCAUUUUAUUAUAGCUUUAUCGUACUUGAUAAGAGAAAUGAGUGAAUUAUUAAAUGUUAGAAAUAGGCUUGGUAGCUUUAGCUUGUAUUGUAAGAGAAAAGCAGAAAUCCUGGCCAUUGGACUUAACAAUCUAAUGAAACAUUUAGUAGAGAAUACAGAGCAUUUGCUUAUUCCAUAGGAGUUUGAGCUCAAGAUUUCAGCCUGUGGUGGUGCUUUUAAUGUGGUACCUCUUGUCUUAUGAGACUGCUAGAUCCCAGGAAAGAUGUAUCACCACAACUUGCCAAACAAUCAGAACUCCCCUUCUAGCACCAACCAUUCUCGCAUCCACCCUGCACUCAGAAUGAACAGUGUUCCUGAAAGCUUCAGGAAUCAUGGCUGCUCGUUGAUUGUCAUUACAUGACUUCUUGAGCCUUCCAAGUGGUAUGAGGAGGGCUAGCUCCAGAUUUUUUUUUUUUUUUCUCCUCUGAAAUUACCUCAUUAUCUUUGCCAUUGAUAUUAGAACUAAAUAAAAAUUGGGUCAGUAGUAUGCUUGAAAUGUAAAGCUCAGACUCACAUCCAAGAAGUUCCUAAGACAUGAAAGUAGGAGAGGCAGCAGCUAAACCAACAGAUGGCUCUGAAACAGAUAAGCAGGUAUAAAUGUAUUAACCUGGAGUCUUAAGAAGAGAGUUCUGAAUACUGCUGAUUUAUCUAAGCUUUAUUUUUACUAAAAUGUCUUCAUUUCUCUUUGACCAAUUAAUUCAACUUACAGGAAAUUAUACGAGGGAAAUCAUCAGAAGCAGUAGUGAUAAUUUAUUUCCAUUACCUUAGAGGUGGGGUUUUGGAGGGCUUUUUUUGGGGGGGGGGGUUCCUUUUUGGCCACUCCGGGGCAUAUGGAGCUCCCGGCCCAGGAAUCAGAUCUGAGCCACAGUUGUGACCUGCAGUGCAGCUCUGGCAACAGCGAGCGGUUCCUUUAACCCGCUGUGCCAGACUAGGGAUCGAACCUGUGUCCUAGCACUGCAGAGACGCUGCUAAUCCCGUUGUUCCACAGUAGGAACUCCAUAGUGUUCUAAGCACUUAAGAAUUAGAAACAGUCUAAAUGCGUAUCUUUAUUCUUUUUUGGUUUCUUUUCCCCCUAAAUUUUCUACAGUGGACCCGUCAGUGUCAUGAGAAAAGCACUUGGGUAUAUUUUCUUAGCUGUCUUUUAAGAGAAAGCAUUAAACAUUAGCAACAUUAGAAAGCAUUAAACAUUAGCAAAAACUGUGUUACUAGUCACAGAAUACCUACCAGGAGGGCUUUUUGGGGGUUUUGUUCUCUGUCUGGAUCUUUGGUCUCCAGUUGUGCUGUUGAGUAGUGUCAGCAGCCUCCUUGGCCUGGAGUGCCACUGUGGGUGAGGUGAGCUUGGGGCGGGGAGGGCGCAGGGCCAGCUUCUCAUGCUGGUGGGAAGAAGGGAAGAGACAGGAAACAGAGUAAAGACUACAAGAAGAAGAAAAAGGAGGAGAGACAGAUGUACAGGGGGUGGGAUCCAUCAGAAGUCCUCAACAACUCCACGUUCACUAACCUGGAUUUUUUCUUAUUUUUGAGCAAAAUGUUAUUUCCAUGUAUCAACUUUGUUCCACCAAUUCCCAUUUGGUAAAUAUGUUUUUGGAAAGCUACUCCACCUCUCACUGCUUUAUUAUGGUUUAGAGUUCUCCAAGUAUUUCAUCUUUUUCCUAACAUUUGUCAUUUACCAUUUCUUUUUCAAAAUCUUUCCAUACAGAGAAAUUAAGUUCUUUAAAUGUCUCUUGUAGCUAAGAUUUAAUUUUCCUUCUUGGGUAUCUUGAAAUUCUGCCUUUUGUUAUUUUUACCUAAUAGUGGCUUUUUCCAUCAGCAGGAAUGAAAGCAGUCAAUAAAAAUCAAUUGCUGACUCAAUGACUAUAUGGAGGGUUUACCAUAAUGCAUAUUGGAAAUGUCUUUGAAACCCUUUUCCUGAAUGGAAGGUGCGAGGCUUGGGGUUUUAUGGCCUUCUAAUGUUAGAUGGUAAUCUCAUUUAGCAUUUUCCCAAAGUGAAAACCAUGCAUUAGGGCAGCAUAACAAGCACUGCAGAUCAAUACAGAGGCAGGGCUUUGCCCUAACAGAUUAAUCCAAGCAAAAUGUACCAGAGUCUAGUCCAGGAACUGGAAGGCAGUUAAUGUUGAUUUCCACACUUCUUCCCCCAUCCUACCAUCUAAUCAUCCGUAUAGCUGAGAUGUGUACAAAAAGGAUUUCAGAAGAUGUCUGCUCGCGUGCACAAGCACGCGCACACACACACACACACUCACACAGAACAGAUUACCAUACAGGAAAUCACGGGUCCUGGAAGUGAGUCGUAUUGAUUUGUGGUGAUAAAAGUAUAUUUUGACACAUUUCAAAUCAUAAAUAACUCAUGGACUUUAACUUGCAUGACUCAUCGCUCAACCCAGGGUAAAUGCUUACAUGUAACUUAAAUUACCUCGUUCUAAGGAGUUCAUAGUAUUAGAUGAGUGAACCCCCUGUGAAUAGUCUUUUCAGGAGGGGAAAAAAAAAACCAAGAAACCACACAGUGUCUUCUUUGUGAUGAGCAGCGUGUGGAGGCUCAUUCUUUACAGUUUUUUCCUGUGUGUUAGUGGGGAGGGGCUGCGUAUCUGGUCGGGAUGGUUCUCGCCUUCUCUCUCAUCUCCUUUCCCCUGCUUUAAAUCUAAGUUAUAUUGGGGGGAAUGAGAUAGAAUAUACCCCUGCUUCCUUAUGAACUCUUACAGACAUUAUUAGUCCUAUAUGUGCUAGGAUCAGCUGACCUGGUGCAUAAUCCUGUUUUAUUCAGUAUUUGUGCAGAUGUGCAUCUUGCGGUAAUCAGUCACUUAGUGUCACGUCUAUGCUUCUACCCCUCGAAGCACAGAUGCUGGUGUUCAUGGUAGGGUAUUAGGGAAAUCCAUGUCUGGAGGAAUUCAUAGAAAUCUGAACUUCAGAAUUUUAAAGUGCGUUGAAACUCCUGGGAUUGGAUUUAAAUUCUGGUAGUAGGUAUUUGGCAAAACAGUAAGGUAAUGAGUGAAAAAGUGCAAGCAAUGUUGUAUAAAACUUGUGGGAUUAUAUUUUUCUCUCUCUCUGUCGGCUUCUUUUUUAGAGGGUAGUAGGAAAUAAAUUCCCUUAGGGGCCAGUAACAUGGUUUGCAUUUCAGUUUUCUAUUCUAGCAAAAUAUAUAUAUUAGCUUAGUGUGUUGGAUAAAAGUAAUGAGGAGACAAAUCGUCACCCAGGGGUUUCCUUAUUGAUGUGAAAUAUUUCUCCUGUGUUCUCUAGGGGUUUUUAAGAGCCCAUCGAAUUUAAAAUAAUGCUAUUUUCAAGAUUACUGUGGAAAUAACAAAUUUAAGUUUCAAAAAAGUGAUAAGAAAGGCUGAAACCACUUCAUUAAACAAAACUAAUUUGAAAAUUAUGAAAUCUAGAUUAAAGUGCUGAUAAUAACAUUUUUUUCCUGGGUAUUUAGUCCUUCUAAUCAAAGUUCUUCUACCAUUUUCACAAGAAUAUUUCAUUUUUGUUUGUAUAAUGCAUUUGGUUUAUUAUCAUUUUUUAAGUGUACAUUAUCAGCUUUUUGGAAGCAUUUUUGUCCAGUACUGCAUAUUCACUGAAAGCUAUCUAACUAAAAUCUUGAGAUCUGUAAGUAUAAUUAGUAAAAUUUUAGCUCAGGGAACUAAAAAAAAAUACUCUCUACACCCAUUGGUAUUCUCAACGAUUUAUUGCAUGACAUUUAUUAGAGGUAUCUGUGUUGAUAGCUGAGAUCACAAAUAAGAUGCAUGGAGUUCCCUUCAUGGUUCAACGGUUAACUACCCGACUAGGAUCCAUGAGAAUGCGGGUUCGAUUCCUGGCCAUGCCCACAGCACAUAGAAGUUCCUGGGUUAAGGAUCCGGCGUUGCCGUGAGCUGCAGUGUAGGUCUCAGGCGCAGCUCGGAUCUGGUGUUGCUAUGGCUCUGGCGUAGGCUGGUGGCAACAGCUCCCAUUAGACCCCUAGCCUGGGAACCUCCAUAUGCCGCGAGUGCAGCCCUGAAAGGACCAGAAACAAAAAACAAAUUGCAGUCCUUACUACCUGGGAUUGGCAUGCUAGUAAAUUGCACUGGACUGUAAUGUAGUGAGUGCUAAGUGCAUGGUGAAAGGAGUUCAUAGGAUCACCAUAAAGGGGACUCUACUGUGGAUGGGGAGAGCUAGUGAGAGUUCUAGGGAGGAAGUGACACUCUAGUACUUAGCUCAGGUAUUGAGAUACCUAGAAAUGGGUGAGGGUUUGGGUGCAGAGCACUUCCAAACUCAAGAGGAGUAUAUCAAAGGUGCAAAGGGACAUGUAAGAACCAAACCCUGAACAGGGUCUGGCUGGGCUGUAGCCCGUGCAGGGUGGUGCACUGAGGUGAAAGAGUAGGCAGAAAUGGAUCCAGAAGGACCUGCUUGUUGAUCUUGUAUUUUACUUAGAAAGCAGGUACUAUCUCAGAUUGAUAUAUUACAAAGAACCUUCUGGGGGGCAGGAAUAGAUGGUGAAAGCUUAGAGACAGAGAGACCUGUGGAGGUCAUGGCUUGAAUCCAGGAUAUAAGUGAUUCGGAAUUAAUGUGAUGACAAUGAAUACGUGAAAGAGGACUGGACUGCAGGUUCUCAAGCUUCCUGACCAACUGGAGUGGGAAUGGAGGAGCACCUUGGCGCUCCCACUCGCUGAUCUGGCUGGCUGGGCUGAAUGCACAUGGUUACGUUUCAGGUCAGGUAGGGAUGUUGACACUAUCCAGAGUCUCUUGGUGGCAUCGAUUAAUAGAACUGAUUUCACAGAAAUCAUCUAAAAGUUGAAGAGGUAUGCCCUUGUGGCGCAGCAGGUUAAGGAUCUGGCCUUGUCCCUGCAGCAGCUUGGGUCGCAGUGAGUUGGAUCCCUGGCCCAGGAACUUCUAUGUGCUGUGGGCACGGCCGAAUUAAAAAAAAAAAGUUGAAGAAAACGAUUUCUCUUAAACUUUUUUGUGGCAUUUGCAACAUUUAUAUCCAUUUACUGUUUUGUCUCUUCUUUGGUCUUUAUCUUUAUUCUGGUUGAAGACCGGUUGUCUCAGUGGUCUGUGUUUUUGUUUUCAGGCGGUAUGAAUGCCAUCCCGUCUGUGCCGACCUGCAGGCCCAGAUUCUCCAGUGUUACCGCCAGAACACCCAGCAGACCCUCAGCUGCUCCGCUCUGGCCAGCGAGUACAUGCGCUGUGUCAAUCAGGCCAAACAGAGCAUGCUUGAAAAGGGAGGAUAAAAGCAACUUUUAGAACAAGCAAAAUUCCCUCAACGUUAAUUCCAGAGGUGGAACAUUUUUUUUUUCCUAGUAAGAAAGUAACCCAUUUAAAGAGAAGACCGUUAAAGAGAAGCAUCAGAGAGCAGAUUCAUCAGAAGCAUAUCACAGUUUGAUCAGCAACAGUUUGAAAAGCCAAGGCCUCCGUCAGGGAUGAGCCAUCAAGGACGUGCUGCAGUGUUAAUAAACCUCAUUUAUGAUGAUUAAAAAGAAAGGUCGCCCUCUCCACCUUCUGUGCUUUCUAUUCAGCUUCCUCUCCUAACCAAGCCCCAUCAUUUGGUGACCCUUCCGUCCCACUAAGCUGGGGGUUGGCGUCGAGGGCUAAGGUCUUUGGAGUGGGGAAAACCUUCCAUUUCAGGCCAGCUGCACCAGGCGGAAUUGGCUAGGCUGGGGCAUGGUGGGGUGCUCUUUUUCUUUUUUCCUUUGACUAUGUAAGAGCUUCUUUAUUUUAACUCAUGGUGAUCAUGUAAGAAGACGAAAGGCAAGAAAAUGUACCUCUCUUACUGGAAUAAUGUUUCUGGUUAAACGUGAAAUAAGGCAUCUUUUUAUCAAUAUGAAGGCAACUUGGCUUCCCCCACCCUCUCCUCUGUCAUGAAUACUGACAUCUUCACCCACCAUCAAUAAUAAAUCUAUUUUCUGAUGAA